CUGGGCGGCCGUGGAGCCGACGAGCCGACGCACGGCGCCGCGCCGAGCGGGGAACCGGGACGGGGCGGGGGCCGGGCCGGGGUCAAGGUCGGCGGGGGCAGGUGGCGGGGGCCCGCACACUCCGCACCCGGCCCCGUGCUUUGCCGCUGCCGUCACGCGCGCAUCCUCAAGCGUGGCCGGAGCCUGCCUCGUGUUAGCAGCCGAAAUCCACGCGUUUCCACGGUUGGCGGUUGCAGUGGCUGUGAGACCCCACCGUCCUACAUGAGAGCUGAACAGAGAUGGCAGAGGUCCUGCAGGACUGGGAGAUGUUGAAGCAAAGAGAAGAGAUCUUGGUGCAGCCCAAGCAACCAGCUGGGACACCAGAAAGGCCACACCCUAGAAGACUGAAUACAGCUGAAGAGAGGAAGUUUCAACUCAAAGUCACAUCACUAGAAAUCAUCUGAAUCAAAACACAGGAAAAGGGACUUCCCUGGUGGCACAGUGGUUAAGAAUCUGCCUGCCAAUGCAGGGGACACAGGUUUGAGCCCUGGUCUGGGAAGAUCCCACAUGCCACGGAGCAACUAAGCCCGUGUGCCACAACUACUGAGCCUACAUGCCACAACUACUGAAGCCCAUGUGCCUAGAGCCCGUGCUCCACAACAAGAGAAGCCACCGCAAUGAGAAGCACACGCACCGCAAUGAAGAGUAGCCCCCGGGCUUCCCUGGUGGCGCAGUGGUUGAGAAUCUGCCUGCCGAUGCAGGGGACACGGGUUCAAGCCCUGGUCUGGGAAGAUCCCACAUGCUGCGGAGCAACUAGGCCCAUGAGCCACAACUACUGAGCCUGCGCGUCUGGAGCUUGUGCUCCGCAACAACAGAGGCCGCGACAGUGAGAGGCCCGCGCACCGCGAUGAAGAGUGGCCCCCGCUCGCCGCAACUAGAGAAAGCCCUCGCACAGAAAUGAAGACCCAACACAGCCAAAAAUAAAUAAAUAAAUAAAAUUUAAAAAAAGAGUAGCCCCUGCUCACAACUGGAGAAAGCCCACGCACAGCAACAAAGACCCAGCGCAGCCAAAAAUAAAUAAAUAAACAUUUAAAAAAUGAAAAUAAGGAAAAAAGAUAACAGAAAAGAGUAUUAGAGACCCAUGACAAGAUCAGAAAGGUCUAAUGUACAUGAAAUUGGACUCUCAAAAGGAAGGAAAAAGAAAUGGAACAGAAGAAAAUUCUUUUUUUUAAUUUAUUUCUGGCUGUGUUGGGUCUUCGUUGCUGUGCGCGGGCUUUCUCUAGUUGCAGCAAGUGGGGGCUACUCUUCGUUGCAGUGCGCGGGCUCCUCCUGCAGUGGCUUCUCUUGUUGCAAAGCAUGGACUGUCAGCAUGUGGGCUCAGUAGUUGUGGCUCGUGGGCUUAGUUGCUCCAUGGCAUGUGCGAUCUUCCCGGACCAGGGCUCGAACCCACGUCCCCUGCAUUGGCAGGCGGAUUCUUAACCACUGCGCCACCAGAGAAGCCCCCAGAAGAAAUUUUUAAAGAGAGAAUGUGUACAGAUUUUACAAAUUGGUGAGAAUAUACCAACCCACAGAUCCAAAAAGGUUAGCAAAAAUAAUAUAUAAAAUAUAUAUUAACUUACAUAAUAUAUAUUCCAAAAAUACAAUAGAGGAGAUGAAACAAAAUUUUUAAAAUACAUGAAUAAUUUAGUAGAAGGCAAAAGAGAAGGAAUAAAGGGCAGAUGGAACAGAUACACAACAGCAAGGUGGUGGCUUUAAACCCAACCAUGUCAAUCAUUACAUUAAAUGUAAAUGUAUAGAAAACUACAAUUAGAAGUCGGAGACUUUAGAAUUCCCUGGCAUCCCAGUGGUUAGGACUCAGUGCUUUCACUGCUGUGGCCCCAGGUUCAGUCCCUGGUUGGGGAACUAAGAUCCGGCAAGUCGAGCAGUGCAGCCAAAAAAGAAAGAAGUUGGAGACUUUAGACUGAAGUGGAAAAAAAACCCCCACCUAACGUAAAUGAGUUUACAAAAUCGAUAUAAUAACAUAACUGCCUAAUGUUCAAAGCAAAAAUUGACAGAACCGAAAGGAAAAAUAACCCACUAAUAGAGUUUGAGAUUUUAACACGUUGCUAUGUAAUUAAUGGAACAAGCAGGCAAAAAAGACAGUAAGGAUGAUUUAAAUACUUAUUAACUAAGCCAGUUACACUCCAUAAAAAUGAUUAUGUACCCUCACCAUCAAAACUGCAGUGGUCCAGCCACAUUGUGUGCCAGCAGAGUAAGAAGGCACCGGGGAGAAGUCUCAGAUUUCCACUUGGGUCUUUCCACUAACUGAUGAGUGGUGUGGCCUGGGUCCCACCGUCUUGUCCACAUUCUCAGUUUCCUCACCUGCAAGAUGAGCCACGGCACGGGCUGCUCUCAGAAGCCUCUUCCAGCUCUAACCCUCCAUUCUAAGGAGGCUCUAGGGGCUACCCCAGGAUGCUACCCCACUUGAAAACCCUCUUUCUAGAAUAAAACGAGAUUCAAACAA